rnacentral:lncRNA from 1 species
GGCUUGUCUGAGACCACCCAAGAAGCUGGGACCCAUUUCCUGUACCCAAGGAGAACCUGGACACUCAGCCCAGGCCGGAGUGUGGAUGUCCGCCAUGCUGACCAGGGCUGGUGGGCGGGGCCUGGCCUUCCUGGGCCUGGUCCAGUUGUGGUCUGGGUUCAGUUGGGGGCUGGGGCAGGAGGAGGAGGCCUGGCUGGGGCUGCAGGUGCUUCCCAGUCAUGGAGGCCAAAUGAGGAUGUCCCAUUGGGCGGGCAGUUGCCUGCCCCUGCCCCAUCCACAGGGCCAGCAGCCCCAGGAGGAGGAGACAAGGCCCCUCUGCGAUCCGACCCCUGGCUGGAGUCUGCAGAGAGGUGCCUCUAGCCUUCUGUGGCCCCUUGGACAGAGCGGCAGAGGCCAGCACAGCUCUAGACCCCUGCCAAGCCUGCACCCCAGGUCCUGGCCCUGAUGGCCCCUCAGAGAGGAACCGGGACAGCUGUCUCAGGAGCUGGGAGAGGAUGGACUCUAGCCUGGGCCCCUGCCCCCAUCUGCUGGCCCAGCCGGGGACACUGGCUCCUUAGUGCUGGCACUCCCACUAGGCCACUGGGCACUUCACUGCCUCUCUCUCCACCUGCGGCCUCCUAUCUGGGGAGGGCACCGGCCUGGCUCUGGGGUCAGACAGCCUGGGCUCCAAUCCUCACUCUGCUUCUCACUGCUGGGGGGCCUCAGGCAGCCCCCACAAAGUGCCCCUACCUGUAGAGGGCCAAGAGACCGGCCCACAGGCUGUGCAAGGGUCCAGGAGAGCCUAGGGGUGCGGAAGCCGCUCUGGCCCAGGACACAGAGGGUCCCUCGAGUUCACCACUCCAUCCUCCUGCGUGUGGGGUCCUGGCAGGACCCCGGAGGUCUCUGCCCCUCCCCACCAGCUCCUCCAGCCUCGCUGGGGUUGGAGCAGGCAUGUGAGCAGAGAAGGUAAACGGGGCAGCUGCUGCGGAAAACAGUCCACAGCUCCUCCAGCGAUGAAGCACGAAGUACCUGGGGACCACAAGACCCAGAAGCCCCGGGACCAGGUGUCCACCCGGGAGGAAGGUCACAUGUCCUCACAGACACAUGUACACGCAUGUUCGCGGCAGCACCAUUCCCAGCAGCCAAGAGGCAGACACAUCCCCAGUGUCCGUGGACAGAUGAGUGGGGAGAUAGGACGCCUGUCCACACCAUGAAAUGUUCAGCCAAGCCGGGCGCGGUGACUCAAGCCUGUAAUCCCAGCACUUUGGGAGGCCAAGGCGGGUGGAUCACGAGGUCAGGAGAUCGAGACCAUCCCGGCUAACAUGGUGAAACCCCGUCUCUACUAAAAAUACAAAAAACUAGCCGGGCGUGGUGGCGGCGCCUGUAGUCCCAGCUACUAGGAGACUGAGGCAGGAGAAUGGCGUGAACCCAGGAGGCGGAGCUUGCAGUGAGCCGAGAUCGCGCCACUGCACUCCAGCCUGGGCGACACAGCGAGACUCCGUCUCAAAAAAAAAAAAAAGAAAAAAA